rnacentral:rRNA from 1 species
CACGAAACUUGCCCCGAGAUGAGUUCUCCCUGAGACUUAGAGUCUCCUGAAGGAACGUUGAAGACGACGACGUUGAUAGGCCGGGUGUGUAAGCGCAGCGAUGCGUUGAGCUAACCGGUACUAAUGAACCGUGAGGCUUAACCUU